rnacentral:tRNA from 1 species
GCCUCCGUGGCGCAAUCGGCUAGCGCGUUCGGCUGUUAACCGAUGGUUGGUGGUUCAAGCCCACCCGGGGGCG